AAAGGAAUUGACGGGGGCCCGCACAAGCAGUGGAGUAUGUGGUUUAAUUCGAAGCAACGCGAAGAACCUUACCAGGGCUUGACAUCCAUAGGAUGCCUUAGAGAUAAGGCAGUGCCGAAAGGAACUAUGAGACAGGUGGUGCAUGGUUGUCGUCAGCUCGUGUCGUGAGAUGUUGGGUUAAGUCCCGCAACGAGCGCAACCCUUAUUGAUAGUUGCCAUCAUUGAGUUGGGCACUCUAUCGAGACUGCCGGCGACAAGUCGGAGGAAGGUGGGGAUGACGUCAAAUCAUCAUGCCCCUUAUGUCCUGGGCUACACACGUACUACAAUGGUCAUCAACAACGGGGAGCAAAGCCGCGAGGUGGAGCAAAUCCCAAAACAUGACCCCAGUUCAGAUUGCAGGCUGCAACUCGCCUGCAUGAAGUCGGAAUUGCUAGUAAUCGCGGAUCAGCAUGCCGCGGUGAAUACGUUCCCGGGCCUUGUACACACCGCCCGU
rnacentral:rRNA from 1 species